GUCGGUGGCGUGUUCAUAAGAGGGCCAAUAGAAUGACAACAGCAUCAGUGUCACAGUGACAACCUCCAUCACGAACAACAGAGUUGCUGUUGCUGGUGAAGAUACUAAUGCCGUGGAUGAUGCUUUAUUCCUGUUGAUACCAGUCAGUUAACUGCUGCGGAUGCUGGAACAAAGAAUGUCAGUGGAGAAUUUACAGAGGAUGGAGACACACAUAAUACGAUGAAUUUUGGUGGUGUCACCACCUGCAUUUUGUAGGCCUACGUCGAGAUUACAGUCGCUCCGUCUAAGACUAAACAGGUCUCACUGAAAUUGCUGGCCUAUAGCCGUCGCUGUGUAAAUGAAACGGAGAAUGUUCUCUGAAAUGGCAGCAGCAAAACAUUCUUUUGUAUUAACGUUCCCGUAAUCUGAAGACUUCAAAGGACAGGAACAUCCUAAGAAAUCAGUUCGUCGGCCUUUACACAUAUUAAAGAUAGUAAAAUACAUGAUACUUCACACUAAUAAAGAAUUUGAAAGGGUCUGCUGGUGGACUAACCCAACAUUCCAAACACAACAGUGAUU